AUGUUACGCAUUUCAGCUGCAGCUUUAUUGCUCUUUGGGACGGGUUUUCUCCAAGUUAUGUUUUCGAUAGCAAUUAUACAGGCUCAUCCAGGACAAAGUGUCACUAUGUGGUGUUCACACAAUAUUCAUGUUUCUGGAUAUCUGUACUGGUUCAAACAAACAGACGGUGCUGUACCCAUUACUAUUGUGCACAUGUUAUACACCGAAAGUCUUCAGAAGGUUGAGCCAAAUUAUUUCAACAAUUUCACAAAAGACCGCAUCGUCAUGGAUCAGUUAAGCAAAAGCACUGCCCUAACAAUUAAGCAAGUGAAAAUGUCUGAUUCUGGUUUCUACUUUUGUGGAGCUACAGGAUAUCACAUGAAAUUUGGCAAUGGAACAAGGCUUCAAGUGAAAGGGAACACAGAAGACAGAAGCAUAAAAAAGUCGCUGAAUGUCAAGCACAACAGCAUGAUGACAAGGAAAAUGAUUCAGUAGAAUAUGCUGC